rnacentral:tRNA from 1 species
GACGGUAUGGCUCAGUGGUAAAGUGUAUGCUUAGCAUGCAUGAGGUCCUGGGUUCAAUCCCCGGGACUUCCA